rnacentral:misc_RNA from 1 species
GAUGAGGAACGUAGCGAAAUGCGAUAAGUAGUGUGAAUUGCAGAAUUCAGUGAAUCAUCGAAUCUUUGAACGCACAUUGCGCCCUUUGGUAUUCCAAAGGGCAUGCCUGUUCGAGCGUCAUUUGUACCCUCAAGCUUUGCUUGGUGUUGGGCGUCUUGUCUCUAGCUUUGCUGGAGACUCGCCUUAAAGUAAUUGGCAGCCGGCCUACUGGUUUCGGAGCGCAGCACAAGUCGCACUCUCUAUCAGCAAAGGUCUAGCAUCCAUUAAGCCUUUUUUUCAACUUUUGACCUCGGAUCAGGUAGGGAUACCCGCUGAACUUAAGCAUAUCAAUAAGCGGAGGA